rnacentral:rRNA from 1 species
AUACGGAGGAUCCGAGCGUUAUCCGGCUUUAUUGGGUUUAAAGGGAGCGUAGGUGGACAGUUAAGUCAGUUGUGAAAGUUUGCGGCUCAACCGUAAAAUUGCAGUUGAAACUGGCAGUCUUGAGUACAGUAGAGGUGGGCGGAAUUCGUGGUGUAGCGGUGAAAUGCUUAGAUAUCACGAAGAACUCCGAUUGCGAAGGCAGCUCACUAGACUGUUACUGACACUGAUGCUCGAAAGUGUGGGUAUCAAACAGGAUUAGAUACCCUGGUAGUCCACACAGUAAACGAUGAAUACUCGCUGUUUGCGAUAUACAGUAAGCGGCCAAGCGAAAGCAUUAAGUAUUCCACCUGGGGAGUACGCCGGCAACGGUGAAACUCAAAUGAAUUGACGGGG